AUAUGAACAAAUUGGAGUAAAAAAAAACCCAGAUAUGACCUCAAUACAAAUCAAGCAAGUUAGAGAUUUUAAUAACUAAAUUCAUUAAGCAAUGCACAUUAACAUAAAUCAAGAGAGGAAACAAUCUUGAAUAGUAACAUCAACAUGGAAACUGUCCUUAUUAAUAAUGAAUGACACUUAACCACAUAUUCAACAAACUCAAACUAAAACAAGGUCUAGUAAGUAAUAAAGUAAACAACAAUGUGGCUUAACAUGUGAUCUGGAAGAUCUCACUUGUACGCUGCCGGAAAUCAACUUAGCAUAAUCUCAUUCUUUUAUCAUAGUAGACUAGUACAAAGACUAUAUAACAUAUAACCAAACCACUAGCAAUUGACCUUAUACAAAAGAAAAAUCAGCACGUUACACACAUGAAAGAUCAACGCCAAUAAAUUCAUGCUCCAAGUAAUCUUAAAGACAAAACUUAAACUUUAACAAAACUAAGAUGUUAGGCAGAAAAGAUGGUGUAGACUCGAUCAAAACGGGUCAUGUAGGCAGUAGAAAGUUAGUUGAGAUUCUUCCUUUACAUGGAUAACAACAUUAACAACAAC
rnacentral:lncRNA from 1 species